UCGCUGGUUACUAUCACCACCAUCGCCAUCUCUCCCAUCCCCAAUCGCUCGUCACCACCACCACUGCUGGUGGAGCAUACAGGGAAGGCAUCGCCAUCCUGCAUCCGACAGUGUAGUGAACGAAAAGUACCUUAACGCGGGUUCUGGGAAUGAUCUCACUGAGGAAAAUAUGCGCGCGGGCACUCCUAAAUGUUGCAGCUGAGCAGCCAGAUAUGGAGAGGCUCCUUCAGAAACAUUUUACUUGCUUUGGAGGACGUCAACACGCUCUACAAACAAUCAGACACGCUCCUUAAGUUGUCCCAUACUCAAGUUCGUUUAUGCUUUAUAUGGUUUGAGUUCCUUUCUUUAAUUAUGUGUGUUGCAGAAGUCCAAGAGGGAUGACUCUUCCAAAACUAUGUCCCAACGUUUGCAAAGUGGUGGUCGUGACUCGUGAGCAAGAGCUAGUGUUGUGCAGAGGAGAUGUCUGGAACUCGUCUCCGUCUAGACUCACACGAAUGUUGCAGUCUCUCACUGGAAUUGCCAAGUGCAGCCUUUGAAGGUAUUGUGACAGUAAAGACUGAGACUUUCUUCUUCUCAGAGUUUUGCUUAUGUCUGCUGAUUCAUUUUUUUUUUUUUUUUUGAUAACUGUAAAUUAUAUUUCCAAAAUAAAAUUGGUUACAUGAGCUUCAAGAGCAGAGUACUUCUAUGGCCAAAAAAAAUUAAAAACCAGUGAGAAGCUAAGAGUUUGGUGCAGCAAAUUGUUAGCUAAGGUUAGCUAUACUUGAACCAUAAGGAGAGUAAGGUUGUACACCCCUUGUUGCGUCGUCUUGCUAGAAGAAUGUCCUCCGUAACCCUAUCAAUCCUGUUAAAGAUAGCUAGGGGAGUUGAUGGAGGUCUUCCAUGUUUCCUAUCAUUUCUUUCUCUCCAUAUGUGAUAGACUGUACCUUGACAGACAAUUAAACUGAGAAGCCUUCUCCUUGGUGACCAUCUCUGCUGGAGAAGCCACCCAAUCAUUGCUUGCCAAGAGGUAAAGAAUGUACGUGGAGCUCCCAACCUCUGUUUCACACGAUCCAUAUCUCCACUGCAAACCUGCAACGCAAGAGCAAACGAUCCCUAGUUUCCUCAUCAGUGGAGCAAAAAGUACAGGUUCCAAUAUCCAUCAAACCCCAUUGCACCAGUCGCUCAUUCACCGGCAACCUAUCAAGGUUAGCCACCCAGAAGUUAAAGGCGUGUUUAGGAACCAUGUUUUUGAACCAAACCACUUUUGACCACAUUAAAUCUUUAACCACUUAAGAAAGCGCUAUUAUACAUAACAGUUUUACGACCGGUAUUACUACUGCAUAACAGAAUAUAACUGUGUAAUUGGUUAUCUACUCUAUUAAAAGGGAAAUGCAUUUUAUAUUUGAUCAUGAAUUUUCUUCAAUAAUUACCAUGUUAUCUCUAAACUUUUACUCUAAUUAAGAGGCCUACAUGAAUUUAACUAUCCACAUUAAAAGCCCGCGUUACGUUUGUUUUGGGGGAUUAUGGUCAUUGUUUGACCUUUUUCAUAAAAUCAUUGUUUGACCUUACAAAUAUCUAUAUAUAUAUAAAAAUGUUUGCCUCCCUCCUGGUGAUGCCACAUCAGAUUCCAGCUAGAUAAGUAGUCUCAUGUAAACGUGACACGUGGCAUAAGAGUCGAUCCGCUGUGUUUCAUUAAACGUCUGUCGUCUCUCCUUCCACCGCCUUAACUUGGCCGAGUAACUGCUGUCGGUAACGCAUUUCAGUGAAUUCACCCCAUUAAAGUUGGAUUAUUUGGCUUCACUUUCAAGCUAAGUUGCUAUAUAUAUAAUGGCCCUCUUAUGUGGAUGAAACUCAAAGUCUUUUGCAUCUACUUAUCACACGAUAUCUCCCUCCAUCUCUUUCUACAUGUUAAAUCGUUUUAACUAUGCUGAUUUACAGGAUACAAGGCUGGGAGCCAUAACCAUGGACUCCAUCAGAUCUGACUCCAUCAGACAGAUGUACCGAGCAUCUCCCGGUUUCAGUGACUCUUGCUUGGCUCAACAAUGGCGGCAGUGAAGAUGGUAGAUUCUUGCUUGGCUCAACGGCGGCGGCUGGAGCAUGGUGAAUCAAGAGUAGUUAGAGCUGAAGGACGGGUUUGCUUGAAGCGCCGACGGUACGAUGACAAAACUGGAUCUCGGUGGAACACCAAUCACCAAUGGAAACGUCACCGGAAUAAUAUAUAUUUAUGCAUCUGAAGGACGGGUUUGCUUUACAUUUUUUUGUUUUAAAUGCGGAUUCGUUUUGAUAUGUGUUUGAAUAUACCGAGUAAUAAUUCACUAACCUCGAUUAUGUAAUUAUAAUGAUUUAUGCGGAGGGUGUGAUUUGAGGCGUAAUUAUCGUAUAAAUUUAAUUCCUGAUUAA